CUUGACAAUAUCUUUAAAUGUUACAAUAAAAAUGGCAUGCUUUAUAAAAAAAUUAAUUAUUUCUUGGGAAAUGUAGAAAUCAGUAGAAUAUAAAAUGAAAAAAAUAACUGACAGUGGUUAAACAGGAAAAUUCUAGAUAUUCAUCAAACAUUUACUCUUAGUUGGUUUAUUGUUUUAUCUAUAUAUGUAAGGAAUAUUUCCUUUUUUGCUUGAUUUUAUCUUGAUUAUUUUGGUUAAUACUUCAUGAAAACCAAAUUGCAGAUGUUUGAUAUUGUUUUAUUUCCAAACCAAUGAAAUUGUCGUGUCCAAUUUGCAUUUUGGGAUAAACUUAUCUAAUAUUUAGAUAAAGGUUUUAAAUUUUACUUUCUUUGGAAUCAAAACAAAUGCCGUGUUUCAAUUCAUUUUGAAAUAUGUUUAACAUUUGGAUGAAAAAAAAAUGUACAACUUCUGUAAAGAAAUAUAUGUAAUAAAUGAAAUUUACCUGAUAGAAACACAACAAAAAGUGAUUCAGUUCAGAGAAUUUUCUAAAAUUUCUAGUUUUGUUUCUAUACUAAACAAUGACUGAAUAUCACUUAUUUUUAUCAUAAAUGAUCACAUAUUCUGGGAGUAAAUUUAUUUUUACUUUAUUAUGGUAAUGCUAGAUACCCAAUGUAAAGACAUGUUGGGUUGCGCUAAGUUCUCAACUGAAACAAAAAUAGAGAUAUUAUGUGAGCUUUAGUACAGAAAGUUUUGUGAAGUUUUAGAAGAGGACUUAAAAAUGGUAUCACCAAUGCUUGAGUUUGUAUAAUGCUCAUAACACAGCAAAUAACAAGAACAAGAGUGCACACACUGAAAUGUCUUGCCUUCUUUACUAAUCAUUGCUAUUAUGUUGAUAAUUCUAAAUAUAAACUUCAUUACAACUGUCACAUAAACUUAACAUUAACCAAGAAAACUAAAAAUUGACCAAUGAACCAUGAAAAUGAGGUCAAGGUCAGAUGAACCAUGCCAUACAGACAAGAACAGCUAACAAUUCUUCCAUACAACAAAUAUAGUUGACCUAUUGCUGAUAGUUUAAGAAAAACAGAGCAAAACACAAAAACUUAACACUGAGCAAUGAACCAUGAAAAUGAGGUCAAGGUCGUAUAAAAACUGCGUAACUGACAUAUAGAUCAUAAAAUAUUUUCAUACACCAAAUAUAGUUGACCUAUUGCAUAUAGUAUUAGAUAAAAAAAGACAAACACUCCAAAACUAAACUUUGACCACUGAACCAUGAAAAUGAGGUCAAGGUCAAAUGACACCUGCCAGCUAGACAUGUACAUCUUACAACAGUAUUAGAAAAACAAACCAAAACACAAAAACAACUACAACCACUGAACCAUGAAAAUGAAGUCAAAACAGAUGACACCUGCCAGCUUGACAUGUAGUCCUUACAGUGCUUACAUACAUUGAAUAUACUAGACCUAUUGCUUAUAGUAACUGAGAUAUGGAAUUGACCACAAAAAAUUAGCCUUGUUCACUUAUUCAUGAAAUGAGGUCAAGGUCAAGUGAAAACUGUCUAAAGGGCAUGAGGACCUUGCAAGGUAUGCACAUACCAAAUAUAAUUAUCCUAUUACUUAUAAUAAGAGAGAGUUUAACAUCACAAAAAAUCUUAACUUUUUUUUCAAGUAGUCACUGAACCAUGAAAGUGAGGUCAAGGACAUUGGACAGGUGAUUGAUGGAAACUUCGUGACAUGAUGCAUCUAUAUACAAAGUAUGAAGCUUCCAGGUCUUUAACCUUCUUAAAUAUAAAGCUUUUAAGAAGUAAGCUAACGCUGCCGCCAGAUCACUAAUCCCUAUGUCAAGCUUUCUGCGUCAAAAGUCGCAGGCUCAACAAAAACCAUUAGUUCAAAUUCUAAACAAAUUCAUCGAUCUUAACCAACAUAUUUUUCAUCUUAAAUUAUCUAUAAUUACUGUAUUUUUUAAUACAUUUUUAGAGUUAGUUUUAAUUAUUAAAGACUGAAAAUCUCAAAAGAGAUUAUGGGAAAUAUAAAUAUUGAAGCAUCUAAUUUAUCAUCAAAACAAAAAACUAACUAGGUUUAUAUUAAAAAUAAGGUAAACAUUUAUGUCAAAUAGAUUUCACAUAAAAACAAUAAAAAUCAGGUUUAAAAAUAUUGCAAUAAGAUUUUUUUUAAAUAAAAAGAGGUAGUUCAAUAACAUGAUCAAAACCAAAAACAACAUCCUCUGUUUAGACAUGCAUCAUGUAUAUGACCUCAGAACACAAUUAUUCUUUACCUUGGCUACAAUAAAUUUUUUGGUUAAAGUCAAGUUGAAUUAAAAAGUUUGCAACGUUUCAAACAUGAAAUAAAUUUAACUGCUUAUAGACCAUUAUUAUUCUAAUCAUAUACUCUUGUCCCAGGACAAUACAUCAAUGCUUUUUCUUACGAAAACCUUAUUAGCAUGCCAAUGGUAGGAUUUGAAUCUUGAAUAAAUGAUGAAGGAUAAUUUCUACCCUACUUUCAUUUUGGCCAAAUCUCUACUUUCAAUUCAACAAUAUUUUUUCCCACAUGUUUUACUUAUUUCAAUAUAUAUGCAACUGGUAGGACCACUUAAAUAGUAAAUAUUUCAAAGAAAACAGUAGACAGAUUACUUGGAAAGAAUACCC
rnacentral:lncRNA from 1 species